GGGGGCGGGUGGUCAAAGGGGGGAGGGAGAUUUGUGUCAGGGGCACUGACUGAUGGAAGGGGAUAGCUAAAGUGGGUCGUAUCCCAGACCUCACUCCGUCUUCCGAGCUGGGUGGUGGACCUUCUGGCCUCACGCCAUCAUGAUGUGCCCAGAUGGGAUUAUCUAUGGUGAGGGGUAAUGGCUCACCUAGGCGACGAUCCCUACCUGGUCUGAGAGGAUGACCACCCACUGUGAAACUGACACACCGCCCACACUCCUACGAGAGGCAGCUGUGGGGAAUAUUGCACAGUGGGCGCAAGCCUGAUGCAGCCAUGCCGCGUGGGAGAAGAACGCCUUCGGGUUGUACCUCUCUUUCUACGAAGAGGAAGGGUUCAAUGUUAAUAGCACUGUACAUUGCCGUUACUCACAUAACAACCACCGGCUAACUCCGUGCCAGCAGCCGCGGUAAUACAGAGGGUGCAAGCGUUAAUCGGAAUUACUGGGCGUAAAGCGCACGCAGGCGGUUUGUUAAUUCAGAUGUGAAAUCCCCGCGCUUAACGUGGGAACUGCAUUUGUAACUGACACUCUAGAGUCUUGUAUAGGGGGGGUAGAAUUCCAAGUGUAGCAGUGAAAUGCGUAGAGAUCUGGAGGAAUACCGGUGGCGAAGGCGGUCCCCUGGACAAAGACUGACACUCAGUGCAAAAGCGUGCGGAGCAAACAGGAUUAUAUACCCUGGUAGUCCACUCUGUAAACGAUGUCGACUUGUAGGUUGUGCCCUUGACGCGUGACUUCCGCAGCUAACGCGUUACGUCGACAGCGCUGGGGAGUACAGCCGCUAAGGCUGAAAACUCACAUGAACUGACGGGGCGCGCCGCACUAAGCUGGUAGGAGCAUGUGGAUUAACUUCGACUGCACGUCGAAGUGACCUUAGCUACUCUGACAUCACAGACUCGUCAGAGAUGCUUACUGCUG
rnacentral:rRNA from 1 species